UACGUAGGGGGCGAGCGUUGUCCGGAGUUACUGGGCGUAAAGCGCACGCAGGCGGUCUGCUAAGUUUGGAGUGACAGUUGGUGGCUCAACCACCAAAGUGCUUCGAAAACUGACAGACUUGAGGGCUUCAGAGGGACACGGAAUUCCGGGUGGAGUGGUGAAAUGCGUAGAGAUCCGGAGGAACACCGAAGGCGAAGGCAGCUCGCUACACGAAUAUUGACUCUGAGGCACGAAAGCGUGGGGAUCAAACAGG
rnacentral:rRNA from 1 species